UACGUAGGGGGCAAGCGUUGUCCGGAAUCAUUGGGCGUAAAGAGCGUGUAGGCGGUCCGGUAAGUCGGCUGUGAAAGUCCAGGGCUCAACCCUGGAAAGCGGGUGGAUACUGCCGGGCUAGAAUCCGGAAGAGGCGAGUGGAAUUCCUGGUGUAGCGGUGGAAUGCGCAGAUAUCAGGAGGAACACCAAUAGCGAAGGCAGCUCGCUGGGACGGUAUUGACGCUAAGGCGCGAAAGCGUGGGGAGCAAACAGG
rnacentral:rRNA from 1 species